CGGUGUUAGUACAAAAGUGGUUGAUUGAUAAAAAUUUAAAAAGAAAUGUGGUGCAAAGAACAUGUUAAAAUUUUAUGCUGGUUAGAUGAAAAUAAGACAAAAGAAAGGUGGUAUAAUGAUAAUUUCCCUAAAUCUAUAUCCAAUGCCUUGUUAAGUUUUAUAGUAAUAAAUGUUCUUGUUUUGUCGAGGAAUUUGUGUGUAGAGAGAGUAUGGAUAGUGAAUUUGAACCUUAGAUUCAGUAAUAUCCAAAGCAUUCAUAAACACAGGAAGCCUAGCACUGUGUUUAAAGAAGUUUAGCACCGACAACUCAGUAAUUUCAAUUGUGAUAAUCUGAAGUUUACAAUCCAGCUUGUACCGUGAACUUUUUCAUACAUAAAUGACAUUUCGUUAUUGCAAUUGAUUUAUCAGAAAUCAGAAUCGAGCUUCGCCCGUGGGAAAUAUCUUAUCAAUCCGAGUCACAUCUAUUAACAACUGGACAUUACUAAUUUUCAUGACUGAGAUGUUUUACAUGAAUUGCAAUUCAAUCAUAUAUAUGAUGAUGAUUUCAGCCAUAUCUCAUCAGCCUCAAACUUUUCACAUUUCACUAUCUCUUUGACGCCAACUCCGAAUUGAAUAAAAAGCAAAAGUAAUUUUGGAAUGGGAAUCUUUUUGGUUGUCUGAUCCUGCUUUUAGUUUAAGUCUAUUAAUUAGAUUAAUCAUGCCGUUGCUCUUUCACUUUCAAAGGAUCAGAUACUCCAAACAUUACUAUUGAAUUCCAUAAUGGCCUUAUUAUAUGGAUUCCUUUAUAUUAGGUGAAUGUCUUUUCAAAUAAUUAUUUUUAUUAUACAAACAAAAUUACUAUGGCGUAACUCAACUGUUCAUAAAUUUAUUUUGCAGAAGCAGUCAGUCGAAUUUGAAUAAUAAAAAAAUAUAAGGGUUGGUAUUUAACGUGGGAGUCUCAUCUCCAUUUCUUUUCUUUUACGAAUAUCUCCAAGCAAUCUAUAACAUUAUAAUCGUCCAUUUUUUUUUACUACAUGAUAACUAUAUGUCUAUACAUCUAUGGCCAGGAAUUCAUUAUAGACAGUGAAUGCAUGCAAAAUCUUUCACCAAGGCAUACACAUGUGUACUGGAUUGUUGAAAUGGAUUUUCAACAAGGAAAGAAACGAUCGAGGUGGCAACUAUUGAAGAAAAGGUAACAUUAAAUGUUCUUGGCUGGUUGUAGAAUGUGCAACAAAAAGAAUUGUUGCCUUAAUAAAAUAUAAAUAUAUUUCAUGAUAAGGUGCUGCAAGGACGGCAACAAAGUGAAAAAGGUGAUCAAAAUUGAAUUUGCUCUCCUAGACCAGCAAGAAAAAAGUCAUUUUAUUGAAAAAUAAAUUGAUGAGUAAAUUGCACCACUCCUAUUGAGAUAUUUAGUAUGGAGUAGUGCUACAGGACCAUUCAAGAAUUUGCCUAUGAUUAUAUGAGAUUUAUCAUUAUCAAUUUAAUUAGUGUAUUUUUUGUGGAUAAUUUUUUUUUUGUUAGUUAUGUUGUGCGUAUAUUAUCAAAUACCCACCAAAAUUUCUUGAUAUAUCAAUUCACCAUCAAGAUUUUCUGACAACUAUGUUUUAGCACAAUAGGUUCUAGUUGUUAUCUUUUUGUCUACCUUAACACUGUUAAAAAAUGGCAGAGGUUACAUGGAUAUCUAAGGAAUUUCAAGUUAAAGUCAUUUUCCUAUUUUCCUUAUUCUUUCUCAUAUUAUUAUUAUUUUUUUGUCUAGAUAUCCAAUUUAUAAACAGUUUCUUUUAUUUUCUUUAUUUCAAUUAUUA
rnacentral:lncRNA from 1 species